AAGAUGGCCCACGCCGCUGCUGCUACUGAGCAUAUAUGACAAUGUAGAUUUUAAUGUGGUAUAGAGGGCAGUGCAAAUGACGAAUAAUAAUAGGGAUUUCAUUUACUGCUGCACUACUGGCUAUAAUCUAGAAACAAUGGCUUAUAUCAGAAUAGUAUGCGUUACCCAACACACAUAAACAUUUUGCUUAUCCAUACCAAAUCCAUCAAAAAACUAACAGGUGCUACUAUUGCUUCUUGUCGGAUAUGAGGCGUAAAUAAUUUGAUUUGACCAUGUUUUCAUGGUUACAAAAAUUACAAACACAUUCAUUUGGCACUGACUGUUGACAAUACCUUGUGAAUUGGAAACGGAACGGAUAUAUUGAAUUUGACCCCAAACAAAAUCGACUCUUCUUCGACAAAGAGGAAAUGGCCGUGAACAGCAAAGAAAAAUCUGACCAUAGGUCCUUGGCCUCAUCAUCUGGGUUAUAUACUUACAUGUAUGUAGAUACAUAUGUACUAUUAAGACUCCAGGCAUGUGGCGGCUGCCCCAUCUUCUUGUUUAACUGUUGCUUGGGUCACUGGUGUCACCCCACAUUACUUACUGCUUUCAAAUGUUAGCUUUAUAUAUAUGGCUCGUUUUAUACGCCUUGCGACUUACUUUGGACUAUGAUAACAAUGAAAGGUUAAGUGCAAAUAUACCUCUUAAACUAAAAAGACAACAUGACAGAAGUGAAAAGAGCCUAAAGAGCCUUAGGCCGAAAGAAUUCACAGAAUGUACAUACAUAUGUAUAUAUACUUUGCAAUACUUUCGGCUGAGAAGAACACUUUUGAUAUCAAUAUCCAUAAAAGCUGAGUCUAUUUAGACAUAUCCGAAUAUUUUUGUACACAAAGCUGUCUUUCUGUAAUUCAUAACAAUUACAAUCAGGCAGGCACCGUUUUUUAUUUACUUUUGCGGACUACGUUUUCAGCCAAAACGUUUCGUUUUCGUUUUAAGGUUCUCCAGUUUUCACCAAAACGAAAAUUUUUGUUGCCCUGGCCAAUUUUUUCCGAGCCAAAUUUGACGUUGGGGUAAAAUAAAAUUAUUUAUAAAGAAAGCUAAAGUUAAAUUACCCUGAUAUAUGUAGGUGUCAAGUUUAUGUUAAUGCACCAUCUAUU